rnacentral:rRNA from 1 species
AGAAGCAUCGACAAUGGAGGAAACUCUGAUCGUGCGACGCCGCGUGCAGGACGAAGGUCUUCGGAUCGUAAACUGCUUUCGCCAGGGGAGAAAGGCGCACAGGUAAAUAGCCUGAGCGUCAGACGGUACCUGGUAAAGAAGCUCCGGCUAAGUCCGUUCCAGCAGCGGCGGUAAUACGGGCGGAGAGAGCGUUGUUCGGAAUUAUUGGGUGUAAAGGGUGCGAAGGCGGUCGUUUAAGUCGGAAGUGAAAUGUCCACGGCUCAACCGGGAAUCUGCUUCCGAUACUGAACGACUUGAGUGCGGGAGGGGAGCGUGGAAUGCCUGGUGUAGCGGUGAAAUGCGUAGAUAUCAGGAGGAACACCUGUGGCGAAGGCGACGCUCUGGCCCGUAACUGACGCUCAUGCACGAAAGCCAGGGGAGCGAAC